GGCCCGUGGCAACGCUCAUCGGAUGCGAUUUUAUCGGACGAGAUUUAUAUGGGAUUUGACAGAUAACGUCGGACGUGCGAUUUCGUCGUACGACGGAAUCAAAAAAUUUUGAUUCCGUCGGAUCGUCGCAUCCGAUUUUAUCUGUCAAACUGAAUUUAACAGUAUAAACCCAAAAUUCAUGUUUUUUCUUGAAGUGACAUCUGUUUGUUUGGAACUUUGUUUGUAUCGAAAACCAAAUAGCAAGCGAUACUUUUUCAGCCAUGUCGAACGUGCGAGUGGACGAAGAAAAUUUGAUUUUGUUGGUGCAAGAGCACCGUUAUUUAUGGGACCUCCGGGAUCCGGAGUACAAAAACAACACCCUUAAAAAAAAUGCGUGGGACUCCAUAGCCCAGCAGCUCCACACAACCGUUUACGAUUUCAUUGACUGAGACGGGAAUCGAACAACGCAUCUUAUCCAAAGAACAAUAGUGUCAGAGCACAGUCCAACUUUUUUCGUUUGUACAUAUUUUUACCGAUAUGGUGGCCAAAAAUAAAUGGCGAAACUUGCGGGACACAUUCGCCCGCAAACUAGCUGAAAUAAAUCAGCCAUCUGGGUCGGGAUACAAGCAUGUCCGAUGGAAGUUUUACGAGCAGAUGAGCUUCCUCAAAGACAUGCUUGCGUCCCGACACAGAGUUGGGAAUCUAGAGUCAUCUUGGCAAGAUGAAAGUAUCGAAUAUUUGGAAGAGAGCGAUGAUCUUCUAGAGCAUUUGGACCCGGCAAAUAAACAGAGAGCAACAGAAAACAACAGAAAGCGGAAACAGGAUGAUCGAGUGCUGCAGGACAUAGUUAAUGUGGAGAAGGAGCGCAACGAACUUUUGAAACAAAGACAACAAAAAAGCUCCAACUACCACGUAAUGAUGAGUGUUGUUACACUCCUUGAUUCUUUACCCGAUCUAAAUGAUCAGUUGGAUGCAAGUGAGGAGAUAUUAGAAUUUGCUUACCAAGUAAUUAAAUCAAAGCGAAGAAAAAGAACAAACGAAGAAAACCAAAAAAAAUUUAGCUUGAGUGAGAACACAACUGUCUACAUGUUGAUACCAAUCGUCUCGUUGAAUAGACAACACAGUACCAUGCUGAGCGUGUUAGUCUGUGUUGUCUAUUCAAAGAGACGAUUGUUAUAAACAUGUGGACAGUUGUUAUAUUAGUGUUACUCUACU